rnacentral:rRNA from 1 species
UACGAAGGGGGCUAGCGUUGCUCGGAAUCACUGGGCGUAAAGGGCGCGUAGGCGGCCAUUCAAGUCGGAGGUGAAAGCCCAGGGCUCAACCCUGGAAUUGCCUUCGAUACUGUCUGGCUAGAGACCGGAAGAGGUAAGUGGAACUGCGAGUGUAGAGGUGAAAUUCGUAGAUAUUCGCAAGAACACCAGUGGCGAAGGCGGCUUACUGGUCCGGUUCUGACGCUGAGGCGCGAAAGCUAGGGGAGCAAACGGG